rnacentral:rRNA from 1 species
GAUGAACGCUGGCGGCGUGCCUAAUACAUGCAAGUCGAACGCUGAAGCUUGGUGCUUGCACCGAGCGGAUGAGUUGCGAACGGGUGAGUAACGCGUAGGUAACCUGCCUCUUAGCGGGGGAUAACUAUUGGAAACGAUAGCUAAUACCGCAUAAAAGUCGAUAUCGCAUGAUAUUGAUUUGAAAGGUGCAAUUGCAUCACUAAGAGAUGGACCUGCGUUGUAUUAGCUAGUUGGUGAGGUAACGGCUCACCAAGGCGACGAUACAUAGCCGACCUGAGAGGGUGAUCGGCCACACUGGGACUGAGACACGGCCCAGACUCCUACGGGAGGCAGCAGUAGGGAAUCUUCGGCAAUGGGGGCAACCCUGACCGAGCAACGCCGCGUGAGUGAAGAAGGUUUUCGGAUCGUAAAGCUCUGUUGUAAGAGAAGAACGAGUGUGAGAGUGGAAAGUUCACACUGUGACGGAACUACCAGAAAGG